rnacentral:rRNA from 1 species
UGGGGAAUAUUGGACAAUGGGCGCAAGCCUGAUCCAGCCAUGCCGCGUGAGUGAUGACGGCCUUAGGGUUGUAAAGCUCUUUUGUCCGGGACGAUAAUGACGGUACCGGAAGAAUAAGCCCCGGCUAACUUCGUGCCAGCAGCCGCGGUAAUACGAAGGGGGCUAGCGUUGCUCGGAAUCACUGGGCGUAAAGGGCGCGUAGGCGGCUUGCCAAGUCGGGGGUGAAAGCCCGUGGCUCAACCACGGAAUGGCCUUCGAUACUGGCAGGCUUGAGACCGGAAGAGGACAGCGGAACUGCGAGUGUAGAGGUGAAAUUCGUAGAUAUUCGCAAGAACACCAGUGGCGAAGGCGGCUGUCUGGUCCGGUUCUGACGCUGAGGCGCGAAAGCGUGGGGAGCAAACAGGAUUAGAUACCCUGGUAGUCCACGCUGUAAACGAUGAAUGCUAGCCGUUGGGGUGCAUGCACCUCAGUGGCGCCGCUAAACGCAUUAAGCAUUCCGCCUGGGGAGUACGGUCGCAAGAUUAAAAACUCAAAUGAAUUACGGGGUCAUAGCUGUUUCCUG